GAUGAACGCUGGCGGCGUGCCUAAUACAUGCAAGUCGAGCGAACAGACGAGGAGCUUGCUCCUCUGACGUUAGCGGCGGACGGGUGAGUAACACGUGGAUAACCUACCUAUAAGACUGGGAUAACUUCGGGAAACCGGAGCUAAUACCGGAUAAUAUAUUGAACCGCAUGGUUCAAUAGUGAAAGACGGUUUUGCUGUCACUUAUAGAUGGAUCCGCGCCGCAUUAGCUAGUUGGUAAGGUAACGGCUUACCAAGGCAACGAUGCGUAGCCGACCUGAGAGGGUGAUCGGCCAUACUGGAACUGCGACACGGUCCAGACUCCUACGGGAGGCAGCAGUAGGGAAUCUUCCGCAAUGGGCGAAAGCCUGACGGAGCAGCGCCGCGUGAGUGAUGAUGGUCUUCGGAUCGUAAAACUCUGUUAUUAGGGAAGAACAAAUGUGUAAGUAACUAUGCGCGUCUUGACGGUACCUAAUCAGAAAGCCACGGCUAACUACGUG
rnacentral:rRNA from 1 species